AUUGAACGCUGGCGGCAGGCCUAACACAUGCAAGUCGAGCGGAUGAGUGGAGCUUGCUCCAUGAUUCAGCGGCGGACGGGAGAGUAAUGCCUAGGAAUCUGCCUGGUAGUGGGGGACAAUGUUUCGAAAGGAACGCUAAUACCGCAUACGUCCUACGGGAGAAAGUGGGGGAUCUUCGGACCUCACGCUAUCAGAUGAGCCUAGGUCGGAUUAGCUAGUUGGUGAGGUAAAGGCUCACCAAGGCGACGAUCCGUAACUGGUCUGAGAGGAUGAUCAGUCACACAGGAACUGAGGCACGGCCCAGACGCCUACGGGAUGCAGCAGUGGGGAAUAUUGGCCAAUGGGCGAAAGCUGUAUCCAGCAAGGCCGCGUGUGUGAAGAAGGUCUUCGGAUUGUAAAGCACUUAAAAUUGGGAGGAAGGGCAGUAAGUUAAUACCUUGCUGUUUUGACGUUACCAACAGAAUAAGCACCGGCUAACUUCGUGCCAGCCGCCGCCGUAAUAC
rnacentral:rRNA from 1 species